rnacentral:lncRNA from 1 species
CAGUGCUGUUUGUCUCUUGAAAGAUGUGUCAAACAGACAUCGUGAUCGUAUGACAAAUGGACCUUCAGACGUCACGAAGCAACGGAUGAACCUUCAGAAACCUCGUCUCAUCCCGGAUCCAGCAGAUAACUAUGGCCGAAUCAUCCUCUACAAAGAUCUUCUCUGCCUGCAACUCCUCUCUUGCACAAAUAAUGCCUGCCCAAGUAGUAUGGAGCUCCGCACUGGGGGCAGACGGUCUCAUAAAGAUGAGAGCCCCUUGCAGUUAAGAGCCUAAAAUCCAAGUCUCG